rnacentral:rRNA from 1 species
GUUAGGAAUAUUGGACAAUGGGCGCAAGCCUGAUCCAGCCAUGCCGCGUGAGUGAUGAAGGCCUUCGGGUUGUAAAGCUCUUUAGCCGAUGAUUAUAAUGACUGUAGUCGGAAAAUAAGCCCCGGCUAACUUCGUGCCAGCAGCCGCGGUAAUAAGAAGGGGGCGAGUGGUAUUCGGAAUCACUGGGCGUAAAGCGUGCGUAGGCGGCUUUGCAAGUUGGGAGUGAAAGCACAGGGCUCAACCCUGGAAUUGCUCUCAAAACUGCAAGGCUCGAAUUCUAGAUAGGAUAUCGGAAUUGGCAGUGUAGCAGUGAAAUGCGUAGAUAUUGACAGUAACACCAGUGGCGUAAGCGGCUAUCUGGACGAGUAUUGACGCUGAGGCACGAAAGCGUGGGGAUCAAACAGGAUUAGAUACCCGAGUAGUCC